rnacentral:lncRNA from 13 species
GGGCUGCCUUGUGGCUGAGAGAGUGCUGCCCUCUGGAGGGUACCUGGCUGUCACGCACAUGUGCACACCCCACAGGCGUGUGUAUUCACACACGAACACACCUACUCGUGUGCACACUCACUCCAGGCACAGACGUGCACACUUAUGCACUGGUGCACACCCCCAGAGGCCCGUGUGCUGACACAGGAACACAUGCCUAUGCGUGCUCACACUCACACACCACGCACACACGUAUGCACACACUCAUGCAAGCACACACAGACAUGUGCUCACACACGAACACACAUGCCUACACGCGCACACACUCCAUGCACACACGUAUGUGCACACUCAUGCACGCACACACAGACAUGUGUUCACACGAACACACAUGCCUACACGCGCACACUCCAUGCACACACGUAUGUGCACACUCAUGCACGCGCACACAGACAUGUGCUCACACGAACACACAUGCCUACACGCACACACACUCCAUGCACACACAUGUGCACACUCACGCACGCACACACAGACAUGUGCUCACACACGAACACACAUGCCUACACGCGCACACACGCAUGUGCACACUCAUGCAUGCACACACACAGACAUGUGCUCACACACGAACACACAUGCCUACACGUGCACACACUCCAUGCACACACGCAUGUGCACACUCAUGCAUGCACACACACAGACAUGUGCUCACACACGAACACACAUGCCUACACGCGCACACACUCCAUGCACACACAUAUGUGCACACUCAUGCACGCACACACACAGACAUGUGCUCUCACACGAACACACAUGCCUACACGCGCACACACUCCAUGCACACACGUAUGUGCACACUCAUGCACGCACACACAGACAUGUGCUCACACGAACACACAUGCCUACACGCACACACACUCAUGCACACACGUAUGUGCACACUCAUGCACACACACAGACAUGUGUUCACACGAACACACAUGCCUACACGCGCACACACUCCAUGCACACACGUAUGUGCACACUCAUGCACGCACACACACAGACAUGUGCUCACACGAACACACAUGCCUACACGCGCACAUACUCCAUGCACACACGUAUGUGCACACUCAUGCACACACAGACAUGUGUUCACACGAACACACAUGCCUACACGCG